rnacentral:rRNA from 1 species
AUUGAACGCUGGCGGCAUGCCUUACACAUGCAAGUCGAACGGCAGCACGGGAGCAAUCCUGGUGGCGAGUGGCGAACGGGUGAGUAAUAUAUCGGAACGUGCCCAGUCGUGGGGGAUAACGUAGCGAAAGCUACGCUAAUACCGCAUACGAUCUACGGAUGAAAGCGGGGGAUCGCAAGACCUCGCGCGAUUGGAGCGGCCGAUAUCAGAUUAGGUAGUUGGUGAGGUAAAGGCUCACCAAGCCGACGAUCUGUAGCUGGUCUGAGAGGACGACCAGCCACACUGGGACUGAGACACGGCCCAGACUCCUACGGGAGGCAACAGUGGGGAAUUUUGGACAAUGGGCGAAAGCCUGAUCCAGCAAUGCCGCGUGCAGGAAGAAAGGGCCCUUCGGGUUGGUUAAAC